UGGAUUGAUUGCGGCGGUCUCUGUAGGUAUGGUUGGUUAAUCUACUAAAGGGAAACAAGAGCUGAGCAGUCAGAUUUUCCUCCAUCAGCUCCUGAGCUAUGAUAUCUUGUGAGGGAAUGUUGGAGAAUGGCGUGAGAGCUGCAGUUGAAUUUGAGUCUCCGGCUCCCAGAUUGCUGGCCUUCUUGCCCAGCCUACAUCUCACCACUCAGCCUUUUAAUCCGUUACAGAAUCUGAUUCUGUCAGGAGGGCUUCAGGUCUAGAUCUUUACCUGGUGUGGAUAACUGCUCUCGAGAAGUUAGUGACAAGCCCCAGGAUGUGAAAAAAUGGUUUCCAUGUGAAUACUGCUGAACUUCCUGAUGAUUCUUGGGAAGAGGCUGACUGAAUGUUAACAUGUUACUUCUGAGUUGAAAUGCGCCUACUGUAGAUCUAGGCUUGCAUCAUGUUACUGCCAUGUCUGUGUAGACUCCAAAAAUCAGUGUCAGUACUUUCCAAGGUUUUCUUUUCUUUACUUCUGUACUCUCUUCUUCCUUAAGUUUGGCCUUAACAUUUUGGUCUUGGGAUGUUUUCAAUGACUGUAAGGGAAGCAAUACCUUGCAUGGCAAGUUGAAAUAAUGUGAUUCGUUAUUAAGACUCGUAUCUUUCUAGACAGGAUAGUAUUCUUCACUGCAUUCUUUAUAUGACUAGCAAUUUUAUUUAUUUAUUUAUCUAUCUAUUCAGCAUAUCAUAUAUUAGCACCAUGUCUAUAGGUAAUAUGAUAGGUACUAGAGAUACAAGAAUUACAGGAAAUGCUUCGUUUCCUCAAAAAGCUCUUUGACUGUUAGAGGAUACAGACAAGCCAAUGGUGAUUUCUAGUACUGCGUGAGAAGUUCUGUGAGAGGCAUAUACCUAAGGUCGGUGUGUGUGGUGGGGGGGGGGAUCUAGAAAAGCUUCCUUAAGUAAUAAUUUGCUGAACUUUAAGAAUGAGUAGUAUAGCCAGGUAAAGUCGGUGGGGGAGGCUGUAUAAGGGAACAUUGUGGCCAAAGGCAUGAAGUAAUGUGGAAUGCAGGAAGCAGUUGAGUAGAGCGUGAGCUUCUGUAAGGUGAGUAGAGGUGUGGAGGCACAAAAAGGGCCUGGAUCAUGGAGGACUGGGUAUGCCAUGCUAAGGAGUUUAUUUUGAAUUCGGCAGGCAGUGGGCAUGCAGUGAAUGAAAGCAACAUUUGAUGCAGGGAACUCAGGAUCUAGGGAUGUAUCGGAGUGAUUUAUGGGAAAGUCUUGGGUAAGAUUUUAUGCUGAUGUGAAGGAAAGGAACCCAGGCUGAGAGAGGGUAGAGACACAGGAAAGAGAAAGUAUAAUACAUUGAACAAUAUUCAUCUUUUUGCUCACACUUCCUGGAUAACUGCAAUAUCCACUGACUAGAUUUUCUUAUUUAUUUAUUUAUUUAUUUAUUUGUUUGUUUGUUUGUUUGUUUUUGAUAGCUGUUUUUAUGGCUUGGCUUUUUUACUUAUAGGUCUGCCCUUUUUGGUCUUUUGUUAAAUCUUCCUCAAUUUGAAAGUGAAAUAGUAAACUAAUGUCAAAUGUUUUCCAAAUUCUGUUUUAAGAAUAAUCCAGGUCUUUCAAAACUUCAGUAAUGUGGGCUGUAAAAAAAAAAAAAAAAAAAAAAAAUCUGUAACUGCCCAACUGGUUUAUGUCAACAUUUUGGAAAGAAUAUCAGUCUUUAAAAUGGCGAUAGAGAUACAAACCCCCAGGGGAGUGAAGAAUGCCUGGUGCAUGCUAAUUUUGUACUUAUCCAGGUGGAAGAGAGAGAGGAAUAGCCAAAGCUAUAGAUAGAACACAGGGAUGUCAAUUGCAACCUGGUGUCAGUUUGGGCUUGGCUCUCUUCACUAAUCCCAUAUCAAAAUGUUAGUGGUUUACUUAUUUAUUUCGAACCUGAGUCAUAUUAAGAUCUUAUUUGACAAAUCUCAUUUUGAUUUAUAGUCUGCGCUUUUGGCAUGUGCUUUAAUGGCAUUAGCCAACUCUAGACACAUACUGAAUUCAUUAUGUACCUUAUGUAUGUAAGUAGUAAUACUUCCUUUUAAUGAACAUACGGUCACAUCAAAGUGCUGUGGAGUGGUUUUACAAAAGCGUCUUUGGGCAGCAUUCCUCAGAAGUUCGAGACGUGUGUUAAGUGGAAGACUAAUAUGCUGUAUUUCAAGUUAUAUUUUAAUGGAGUAAUAUAUUAUAAUUUUGCCCUCUCCUUCAGGUGAACAGACUGUUAGAGUCCGUUUGGGUCUUUGAUUCUUAGGCUUAAGUGUUUAAUUAGAAUCCAGCAUUUUUGAUGUAUAAAUUUUUGCAAACAGAUGAAUUAAAAACUCAUCAAAUAAAAUCAACUUUGAAUAUGUAUCUUGAACUAGGAUAUUGAUAAAGGUAGAUGAGUGACUCUUUUUCUUCUUUGCUGUAAGUGGUAAGAGACUCGCAGAACCUGCUUUUAUAGCUAGCUCUGUAUGUGGCAGCUACACCUUGGCCAUGUCUGCUGAAACGUUUCUUGUCCUUGCAGUAUGGACUGCCUUCAAUGACUUUGAAGGGCAGGGCUUUCCCAAGGCAAGCUGGUAGAAGUGAACCAGGAACGAUCUGGCCUGACUAUGAGCAGUCUUCCAAAGGGAGUGACUGUCUGCUGUCUUAGUACUCCUCAUCUCAGUCCUUAUCAGUGGAGGAGGCGGACUGAGCAGGGAAGCAGUGUUCUCAGUGAAGUGAUGACCUGUGGAGUCAAGUGCAUAACAGCAUCUUGGGGAUUCUUUAGGAGAAAGCACAGCAUGUGUGUGUUUGUGUGUUUGUUGGGGGGGGGGGUGGUCUAUGGCAGACACUAGGCAUCCUCCUGAAAUGGAGAGACAGAGGCCAGUUCUUGAGGGAAGAGCUAGGCAGAACGUCAGAGCUCUGGCCACGUAAGUUUGAGAUGAGAGCAGAGUUCUAGUACAGGUAGGAAUCUAGGGGUGCAAAGCAGAUAUUGUGCAGACUUCUUAUGCUUGCUGUGUCUGGCAGGGGACACUAUAGCCUGGUAAGCAUCAGGGAUUCCUUGUCUAAGGGUUCCCUGAAGGUAGGUAACAGUUUGUAGGCAGAUUCUAAUGCUGGAGGGAUGAGACUCCUAUAUUGCCAAGUAUGAUCAAGACUGACUCAGGAUUGACUCAGGGGCCGCUUAAGUCUGAGCCAGGAUCUGUCUUUGACAAUAGCCACUGACGAGCAUUUCCAGGAAGACUUUGAGAAUUGCUGGGAAUAUGGGCAAGAAACCCAACUCACUGAAGUAUGGUAUUUGACUAUUUUUUUCAUUAUAAAAUAAAAGGGAAAACAUUAGUAAUAGUCUUGAUAUAUCCCAGCCUUGUAUUUAAAAGUUGUAAGUAAAGCUAAAAAUAUAUUUUUUCAAUGUGACGUGCCAUUGUAUGAUAUCUAAAUUUAUCAUUACUAUUUUUAUAUUACAUGAGAUGACUAGAAGUGUGAGGGUGUGGGUAGUUUUUGUUGGUUGGUUUCAUUGGGGUUUUUUGUUUGUUUGUUUUUUUCCAUUUGAACCUUGCUGUAUCUUACCAUUCUGUAGCAUUUCAGAGACAAGGAGAAGAUUUUUUGACAUUCGUUGAGGUCUUUUAUGGUGAAACAACUGUUUUAAUGGUACUAUUUGAUAUUAAAUUAUGUAAUAGUUUGUCAAAAGUGAGCCUGUAACCUAUUUUUGAAUCAUUCAUUUUUUAAUUUUCUUACAUAUUUAUUGAGUGCAGAUUUGAAUAAAACUCCCUAGAAUAUUAGAAAUGUCUUCUCAAGUACAGGGAGGCAUUGAUUAGCUCUGUAGUCAUUUUUUUCCCCCUUGAAGGGGACUUUCUGAACAACUUGGUGUGAAAAUGUGGACAACACAUGACAGGGUAAAGGAAACUUCACCUGAACCAAAUGAACCAUACAUUUGUUAUUGGGAGACUAGCUCAGCAUAAUGGUGGUGCUGGCAGCAAAAAUAAACCAACUUCCCUCACUCCCUUCCUUCUAUCCUUUCUUUCUCUUCCUCUUUUAAAAAUUUACAUUUUUUCCAGCUUUAUUGAGGUAUAAGUAAGAAAAUUAUAAGGUAUUUAAAGUGUACAGUGUGAUGAUUUGAUAUAUGUAUACAUUGUGAAAGGAUACUCAUUGUAUUGAGUUACAAAUUUUUAACUUUUUAUUCUCAAAAUGUGCAAAGGUAUACAAAAGGAGAAGAGAAUUUUGGACUUAAACGUACUGUCUCCACCUAGAACAAUUGUCAACUCAUGGGUAAUCUUAACCUAUUUUUUUUUCCUUUCACCUUCUCUCUCUCUCUCUCUCUCUCUCUCUCUCUCUCUCUCUCUCUCUCAUAUUUUUUCCCUCUAGAGCAGAGGUCAAAUCCCUGCCUGCCUCUUAUUUUGUGGGCUGAGAAUGAUUUUUACAUUUAUAAUGGUUAAAUUAUGUGGCACAAAAUUGUAUAAAAUUUACAUUUUAGCAUGUUCAUUUGUUUGGGUAAUGUCCACAACAGAGUUGAGUACAUCAAUAGAGAUCAUAUAGCCUUUACAUAAAAAGUGCACCAUCCCCAACUUAGAACAUUUUAAAGUAUAGUUAACUUAUAAGGGCAUUCUUCUUUUUUUUUAAACUUUUAUUUAAAAAAAAUAAAAAGCCGUUAUUACAGCCAACCUAAUCAAAGACAAUUUUCAGUAUCCUCCAGUAUAUCCAUGUUCAAGUUUUAUAUGAGAUGUAGUUUGGCCAGCUAGAAGUUGAAGUAUCAUUGAAGGACAGAAUAAUGAAAUAAAAUGUGUGUGUGUGUGUGUGUGUGUGUGUGUGGAUUUUUUUUAAACUCAGAAAUGUGCAUUUUCUUUUUUUUUUUUAACUUUUUUAAUGCUUAUUUAUUCUAAAGAAAGAGAGAGAGAGAGACCAAGUGUGAGUGGAGGAGGGACAGAGAGAGAGGGAGACACAGAAUCCAAAGCAGGCUCCAGGCUCUGAGCUGUCAGCACAGAGCCCGAUGCCGGGCUUAAACUCACGAACUGUGAGAUCGUGACCUGAGCUGAAGUUGGACGCUUAACCCACUGAGCCAUCCAGGCGCCCCUGAAAUGUGCAUUUUCAAAUGAGAUAAUAGAAUGCAAUUAUCUAAGUUAUUUUUCUUUUUUUUUAAUUUUUUUUUUGUUUAAUGUUUAUUUAUUUUUUGAGACAGAGAGAGAAAGAGCAUGAACAGGGAGGGUCAGAGAGAGAGGGAGACACAGAAUCUGAAACAGGCUCCGAGCUGUCAGCACAGAGCCCGAUGCGGGGCUCGAACCUACGGACCGCGAGAUCAUGACCUGGGCCGAAGUCGGACGCUCAACCGACUGAGCCACCCAGGCGCCCCAGUCUAAGUUAUUUUUCUAGCCUUUUUAAAAGUAUGGGUAGUCAUACUGAGUCAUUGGCAAUUUACAACUCAAGCUAUUUUCUCAAAGCAGAAUAUCUUUUUUCUUACUAUGGCUAGUUUAUUUUUUCUCCUCCGUGUUUAACUUUACAGAAGAACAAAUCUGUUGGCUUUAAAAAUAUGGCUAGAGCAUCUGGCAUAGUAUUUGAUGAUUGUGUUUGCAAUAUUGACAUCAUUUCAUUGAUAACUGCAUUGUGCAUAAACUUUGUCUUUUCAUCUAUCUAUUCUACUAGCUGUUAGGAGGUAGUUAAGUGGCAGCAAAGCGAGGGCUAUGUCAAGCUCAUUCUCACAGCCUUUACACCUCAGUCUUCUGCCUCAGCAUAUGAUCGUGAUUGUAAAGGUUGAGAGUAUCUAUUAUUUUCAUUUCUCUCAGGGUGGUCAGGCUCUGCUAAGUUGAUGAUUACUAGCCAAACUCACAGGCUAUUGAAUUAUAAAUGGAUUAUUUUAGACAACAAAUAGGUUAGCACCUUCCAACAUACCAAGUACCAGUUGUCCUUGAUGCAGGUAAAUUGGUGGUGGUGAUAGUUGGGGUGGAUAGAAUUAAGUCCCUGGUCUUCAUUUAUUGAUUCUUAUGGGAAACCAAAUACCCCUUGUAGAUCAGAUGAGUCAUAAUUACUGUUGGAAAAAAAAAAAAAUCCAGUAGGGCAAACUUACUUGAAUAACCAAACUAAGAUCAGAAUUUUGCUUAGUAAAUACCAAGUUCAAGUAGAAGCUGUUGGAUAUUCUUACUACAGUUUGAAACAAUGCCUGUUAGAUAUAUUUGUCAAAUGAGUCUGAGGUUUUGUUUUUAUAGUUAAAAAGAGUUCAAUUCUUACUUGUCUUCCUCUUUUAGAGUUUCAAGCCCCAAAUAAAGUUUCUCAGUAAACACUGAAUGUGGGUUACUAAGAGAUAUUCUGAAAACUGAGGAAUAUUUAUGAUUUGGAUAACAAAUAAAAGACUAUCUCAAACAAAAGGGAAGGGAAGGUAAAUUUAGUAGAAGGGAAUGUUUUUUAACAGUAAUAGCUUCAUUCUUAGAAGGCUUCCCGGUUGACAAAUGCUUCCGCUUAUGGAUUAAUUGGAUCAUUGCAGUUACUCUAGAAGGUCAGCACAGAGCUUGGUGUUAACCUUAUUUUGCAGAUGAAAAAACAGAUUCUGAGGGGCAAAAGGACCAGGCCCAGAAUCAAGUCAGUCUGUGGCACGUGGGUCCUGAACGCAGGUAUUCUGAGUCUCCAGCCCCCGGGUUCUCCCCGGGUGCCUAGAAUUAGCCUGCUUUUCAUGUUAAUGUGACAGUAGGCAUUCUCUUCAAUCAGUACAUUGGGGUCUGGUCAGACUGAUUUGAUAACAAUUUGAUAAGGUGUGGAAUCUUCCUGUGAUUAGAGAGAGAAAUCUGAUAAGAUACGGGACUCGCCAUGCAACAGAUAAAGGUUCUCAAAAGGCUGCUUCCAGUUAGAAUUCCCCAGCCGGCCCUCAGCACAUGGUUGCAUGUAUUUAUUAUGUAGCUCACACUCAGAAUGGCCCCUGGGGCCGGUUGAACCAUUCCAGCCGGUUUGUAAAAAGUUGUGUGCAUAAACUCACACACAAAUGAGGAGACGGGCACUGAAAGGUGGUUCCGUGUAAGUGAAAGGAUUCUUUCACUCACUUUUGCCUGUCCCGUUUCCCAUUAAAGGGCUUCUGCUUUGUUACAGAAUUAGAUUCUCAAGUUUCCAGUUCGUUUCUUUGAAGUUUUAUGAGCGCUAUGUAGAAAAUUGGUAGAGCUGGCAGGAACCUGAGAGAUCUCAAAGUUCCAUUCUGUGGCUCAAGCGAUGAGGAAACUGAGGCAGGGGUUGGGACUUGCCUAGAUUUUUAGGCACAGGCCUUGAGCAAGAGGCAGAAAUGCUGGGAAGCCUGAAGACAUAGCCUGAAAAAUGAGGGCCCCAAAAUUAUUUGUGGCAACCAACGCCACAGAUGCCAUCCUGUGCUUGCACUGGUCCACCGAAGACUUUUAGUGCUGAUUAUUGUGUGUCACAUCUUGUUCUGCCAUCGCCGCAGGCGUCUCUGCCACUGCCACCCCCUAGAAAGGGGUGAUGCUGCUGCUGUUUGCCUCCCCCUUCAUACUGGAUUUCUCAUGGUCCCAUGCUCUGGGUCACUAGCUCUAGGUUGAAGUCUGUCGAGAGCCUCUGACUGGAGCCAGUUCGGAAGCCUGAGUCUCAGCGGACCUUCUUUCUCUCCUGUGGGAGGUGGAGCCUUGAGCCCCUCUGUGAAACUUACAUGGUGGAGAGAAGGGAGUUAGUUGCUGGGAAGCAAAAGCAAACAAUAUCCACACGAUUAGCUGUAAUAGUGGCUAAUCGGUUAGUGGCUGCUGGAGGAAUUAGAACUUGGUUCUUUUGAUUUUUCCCAAUUUGUAGCAAGUGUUGAUCUCCUUUAUAAAGACUGGCAGAGACUCCCUACUUUUAAGAGAAAAUGAAGUCAGCUGCAUUAAGAUUUGGUUAUUCUGAUAUUUUGAAAUGCUUAUCCUGUCAAUGCUGUUUUCCACUGGAUUGAAAACCAUUUCCCUGUCUUUCUAUCCACUGUGGCAUACGAAAUAGUUGUUCCUCAGUGGUAAAAAGUGAUGAGAGAGAAAAAGAGCAAACCGUAUUCACGAAGUGCAGAGAUUAGAGAUCAGUUGUUACACAUUUCAAGGAAAGUUUGUCACAAUGAGCAGUAAACCAUUUCGAACUAGAAAGUAAACACAGCGUUUUUGUUUUUAUUUUUGAAGUAUUUUAGGUUGUAGCCAUAUCUUCCAAUUAAGGUGUAAAGCCAUCUUGACUUUCCAGGAAAUUUUUUUUUUUAACCUUUUAAUAAUAGUUAAUAUUUGUUGAGAGCCAUUAUGUUGUAACAUACAUUAGUUAUCUUACUUAUUCCUCACAUUAACCCCAUGUCAACCCCAUUGCCAUUCCCCUUGUGUAGAUGACCGAAUGGAACCUUAGAUAAAGCAACUAGCGUGAGGUCUCAUCGUUGGUAGGGAAUGGACUUGACCAGAAGCACAUGUUUCUAUGAAAUACACCUUGCAAUCUUCUUAGAACAUAGGAGAGACAAGAAGAUGUGUGUGGAGUGCUAUUCUUGGUGAUAUCUUAGGAAAACGGCAGAGGAAAGAGAAAGGAAAUAUGGUUGAGUAUUGAAGGGCCUUUUUGGAACUUGUGACUUUUCCAAGUUAGACUGAAAAUUUGCUCUUGUGUCGCAGAACCCUCGAGCGGCCAGACCAAUCUGUUUUAAUUUCUGCUCCCCACAGUGAUCCUGAGCUCCAUGCCUGGCACAUAGUAGGUGUUUGUGAAACAUUGGUAAGAGAAAUAAGUCUCAAGCAUCCUCAGGACAGUUAUUUUGGGUUAAUAACUCCCAGACCAUAGGGCUCAGGAAAUGAAGGCCCUCACCGUCAAAGCUAGAUAUGCUAAGAUAAUGAAUCAGUGGCUUUGGUGCAUUUCACAAACAACCGAGGAAGAUUAUCUCUGGUUUUAGGCCACGUAUUGUAAGGUCUAUAAAAGCCUCUCUAUAGUGUGUCUGGCUGACUGACUUUACAACUUCAUUUCAAUUAAUUUUUGUCUCAUUACUUCUUUUCUCUUUUUCUCCCUUCAAAGUACAAAAGCCUGUUUUUGGCUUGUCCUAGAGAGAGAAUUAAUUGCCCUGGGGAGGUACCCAAGGGGAGGGGUCUUCACUGUAAAUUGGAUGUAUAGCGCAUUUUUGCACAUAUAUGGAUAAUGCACACCCAGAGCAUUCCGUUUGCAGUUACAUGUGGUUAUAUUUUUGUUCAACUCUAGCUAGAUUCCCAAGUGUCUGAAAAGUAGAAAACUUACUCUUCAUUAGGUUCCUUUAAAACUUUUUUCAAGAAAGGAAAGUCCUGAGGGUAUAGAAACUUUACGUACUUCAAUAUGUCACGUUAAGGCACUUCACAAUGUUUCGUUUACAGGAGGCCAAAGACCACAGAUCCACGCUGAUUGCUAAUUAUUCAGAUUGUAAAUAGCUUGUUCAAGAACUUAGGGUGAGACAAAAGAAACAGGAAGGAACAAAAGGCCCACAAUAAUGAAAAGGAUAUUGUGAAGAGAAAGGCUGGGUAGAAUUAUGAUGCAGGUCACAUCCUGUGCCUGUAUUUAAUUGUACCUUUGUAUUUAAUAAUAAAAAUGAUUACAUGCUCCGUGCUAACAGGUGUCCCUUCCGGAGAACGGUAGUGUGGAUAAGUGACAGCAAAUUACUCCAAUUCAUAAACUUUGAAUAUGAUGCUUUUAUUUUGAGUUUUUCCGGUCUAUACUAGAAGACAUUUUCUGCAGAAGUAUACAUCAAACCAAGAUGAUUUUAACACUUAAUUCCUGAUAAGUAUGUGUAAAAUAUAGAUGAAUACUUUGAAGUACGCAUGAGAAAAAAAGUUACUUUACAGGCCCUACUUAAUGAAACGGGGUUGUGCUAAUGCCACGUCGCAUUUCUGAUAGUUUAUGCUUCAUAUAAGCUUUGGAUAUAAUUGCAAAUUAGCAGUGAUUAAAGUUUAUAGUUGGUGGUCUUGCUGUUAGGGCUUAAUUGCCUUGUCUGCAUGUUCUCUACUUCUUGUUAAUCUGGGCUGCCUCUCCUGACUGCCCUGCCUAAAAUAUAACUCCUGCACCAAGGAUUUGCUCUCCCUGCCCCAGAUUUUUCCCUCCAUUGCCAUUGUUGUGAUUUCUAAUCAUCUUAUCAGUUGAUUUUAGUUGAUUUCAUCCGUCUUCCCAUUACAGCGUGGUUCCAUAAUGCAAAAGACUAGGGUAAUCCUAUUCUCCCUACUCAGUGGACCCCUAAGCCUAGCAUCGUGUCUGGCUCACAGUAUGUACUCAGUAGUUGUUAAAGGGAUCUGCCACCUGCUGUCCUAAUCAUACAUCAAACCCUCGUUUGCUUUAACUUUACCACUGGCCUUCUCCUUUUGCUUGUGUUUUCACCAGAGAUCUUGCGAUAGAAGACAUCCUGUUUCCACUGUCUGCUGGGCAGCUAGGUAGAGAGACAGUAGUUCCUUGGUUUAGUGGAGACCACAGCUAUGGAGGGUAGAGUUGAGUGGUCAGCAGCUGUUCCUAGAAUUUCUUAGUCUUGAGCACAUUUCCCUUAUUUGAGCAGUCUCUGACCUGUGAUUUCUGUAAUCAUGUACAUUUACUCAUUUAUUCACUCAGCGCAUUUUUGAAUAUCUACCAGGCAGCAAAUGCUGUGGUAGGUACUAGGAAAGCAAAAUGGAAUAAGGUGCACUCUGUUCUUUUAGGAACAUGUUAUUAGAACCAAGGUUCUCUAGACCUGAAACGGUGCCUCUUUAGGGGUCUGUUGGAGACCUGAUUUCUAGCACAGUUUCUGACACAUUAAAAGCAUUAGUACAUAUUUGCUCAAUACAUGAGUGAGCGUUGAAUGCAAAUAUUUAGAAAAUAGUUUGUGGUGUAAAAAGUGUAGGGUCAAAGUGUGACAGAAGCAGAGAGUAGAGAAGGCUAUUGGGCCUGAGAGGAGUCAGGGAAGGUUUCAUGAAGAAAAGAUGAAAGUUGAAUAGGCUACCAGGUAGGAUAGGAUGUCUCAUGGAGUAGGGACAACAUAAACAAAAAGAACAGCAGAGGCGUUUGAAAAUGGCACUAGAGUCAGCCCAGAGAUUUAGAGUCCAUGUGAGGAGGUCAUGGGCUUUGAGGCUCUUGGAACCAUUAAUUCCCUUAUUCAGGUACCUCUUGCUCUAACUAGCUCUGUGGCACAGCCUAAUCAUCUUACUCCCAUUUAUUUUAUACCAUUUCUAUGGGAAAAUGAGUUGUGUUCAAAAAUCACCAUCUUAGAAGGCAGUUUUGAAGAUAGAACCUAUUUUUAAUCAGGAUUAAUUUUAUUAGAAAAUUGCCUACACUGCCUGUAUAAAUUAUCUAUUGCCACAAUUCCACAUAACAAACAACCAUAAACCCCCAAGAGUAUAAAAACAGUUAGGAUUUAUUGUUCAUGCACUGGGGUGGUCCUCUAGGUGGUUCUUCUGAUCUUGUCUGGGGUUGGCUCAGGGAUUCUUCUGGUUUCCCCAGAAUUUGCACUAGUGUCUAGAGGUGUUGACUGCCAACCGAUGCAGAAUGGCCUUGGCUGAGAUGACUGGGGGCAACUUGCCACAUGCCUCUCAUCGCCCUCCUGGUACCAGCAGCCUAGCCUGGGUGCGUCUUUUGGCUUUGUAGAGCCUCCUUUUUAAAAGCACAUCGAUUAGUAUCCCAUUGACCCAAACAAUUUCACGUGGCUGAGUCCAGGGUUAGAGUGGGAGAGGACACUGAAGAUUCAUAGCAAGGGGUUACAGGGAGGUAUGAGGAAUUUUUUGCAAUACUGCAUAGCCCACAAAAGCCAUUCGAAUCAAGAUUUUACUGUAAUUCUAGAACUAAUGGAAGAAUAUAAUUUCCAGUUUUAUUUUUCUGAUUUCCUUUAUAAAGUACCUGCCGUUUGGUCUUCAUUCAUGCCCUUUCUCCUUUUCGACAUGCUGGGCCAAAGUGAGAGAGGCCAGAAAUGAGGAUUAGGUUGAAGUGAAAUCUUGAAAGGGGUAGGUAGCUAUUGAGGACUAGCCAUUACAUGCACUGUAUAAUUUCAGAGGUGCUACCCAGCUCCUCUCCUUGUCUAGGACCCUGAAGCCCUGAGGAGUCCCCCUAAACAUAUGACCCUGUCCAGAGCCAUUCUCCACCAUAUGUGGUAAGGUGCAUCCUCCCUUAGCUGUUUCACGAGCCUCCCUGAUCCCUGCCAUGCCCCACACAAAUAAUCACUUUUAUAAAUAAUGUACUAUUGGAAAUUGCAUUGUUGCCACAAUUGACUGUCAAAAGUAUGUUCUCAUGUUGAGUUUUCCUUUUCAAUUUUAUUCAUCAUAUGAACUUAAGCCAGAUUUUGUAAUCCCCUCACACACACCCACCCACACGUGCACGCGCACACACACACACACACACACACACACACACACCGUUUCUACUCUGCUUCUACCUGCACUCUUCCCAUCAGAAAGGGAAAUUUUAAGUAUAAUCAUUAUAUUAAAUCAGCUCAAGUUUAGUAGGUUAGCCUUUGAAUUGUCUUUGGCAGACUGCUAAGGAGAAGGUGCCCAAGAGGUCAUUGUGACACCGUCAGUCUGAGAGAAUGAAUCAGGCCCUGUGGAUUUUGUUAGGAAUGGGAUUUGAGCUUUAAGGAAGUGUUCUUUCUUUCAAGCAUCCUUUCUCCCCCUGCCAGAAGUAGUCAUACGAUUGCCCAAGACCCAGAUCAGGCAUAGGGAGAUGGAAGGAAAUAUUCUCAACAUUUCAACAGUGGCAGGUUUUAUUGAUGUUGAAGUCAUGGACAGGUGUUAUUUUAGUCAAGAGCUUUUUUUUUUUUUUUUUUUUUUUUUUUUUUUCCUAAAGGCUAGA